UGGGGAAUUUUGGACAAUGGGCGAAAGCCUGAUCCAGCCAUGCCGCGUGAGUGAAGAAGGCCUUCGGGUUGUAAAGCUCUUUUAGUCGGAAAGAAAGAGUUGCAAUGAAUAAUUGUGAUUUAUGACGGUACCGACAGAAAAAGCACCGGCUAACUACGUGCCAGCAGCCGCGGUAAUACGUAGGGUGCGAGCGUUAAUCGAAAUUACUGGGCGUAAAGGGUGCGCAGGCGGUCUUGCAAGUCAGAUGUGAAAGCCCCGGGCUUAACCUGGGAAUUGCGUUUGAAACUACAAGGCUAGAGUGCAGCAGAGGGGAGUGGAAUUCCAUGUGUAGCAGUGAAAUGCGUAGAGAUGUGGAAGAACACCGAUGGCGAAGGCAGCUCCCUGGGUCGACACUGACGCUCAUGCACGAAAGCGUGGGGAGCAAACA
rnacentral:rRNA from 1 species